GACGAACGCUGGCGGCGUGCCUAAUACAUGCAAGUCGAACGCACUCUCGUUUAGAUUGAAGGAGUUUGCUCCUGAUUGAUAAACAUUUGAGUGAGUGGCGGACGGGUGAGUAACACGUGGGUAACCUGCCCUAAAGUGGGGGAUAACAUUUGGAAACAGAUGCUAAUACCGCAUAAAACCUAACACCGCAUGGUGUAGGGUUGAAAGAUGGUUUCGGCUAUCACUUUAGGAUGGACCCGCGGUGCAUUAGUUAGUUGGUGAGGUAAAGGCUCACCAAGACCGUGAUGCAUAGCCGACCUGAGAGGGUAAUCGGCCACACUGGGACUGAGACACGGCCCAGACUCCUACGGGAGGCAGCAGUAGGGAAUCUUCCACAAUGGACGAAAGUCUGAUGGAGCAACGCCGCGUGAGUGAAGAAGGUUUUCGGAACGUAAAACUCUGUUGUUGGAGAAGAAUGUAUCUGAUAGUAACUGAUCAGGUAGUGACGGUAUCCAACCAGAAAGCCACGGCUAACUACGUG
rnacentral:rRNA from 1 species